rnacentral:sRNA from 1 species
UAGCAACCGGGAGGCUUACCUUUGGAAGCUUGUUGCAGCUCUAGCCACGGUCCUGCCCUCUUCCCGCCCCUCCCCUCCCCUAAACUCCCUUCACCUAGGAGCUGCCAAACAUCUGGAUCAACCUGGGCACUACGAGGGGUUGAAUUUCUACCAUUAUCGCGCCUUUUGAUAUUUUUUUCCAGACCUCCUGCUCACAUCCGUAAAGCCCACUGAUUCUUUUACUACACUUUUUAUGAGAACAAGACAUUUUCUAGGAAGAUGGUGGCAGAAAAAGAGACCCUGAGCUUAAACAAAUGCCCAGACAAGAUGCCGAAGAGGACCAAGCUGCUGGCACAACAGCCGCUCCCGGUGCACCAGCCUCACUCCCUGGUUUCUGAGGGCUUCACAGUCAAAGCCAUGAUGAAAAACUCAGUCGUGAGAGGCCCUCCAGCUGCAGGGGCAUUUAAAGAAAGACCAACCAAGCCCACAGCAUUUCGAAAAUUCUAUGAGCGAGGUGACUUCCCAAUUGCCCUUGAGCAUGAUUCGAAAGGAAACAAAAUCGCCUGGAAGUUGGUGUCUCAGGAUGCCACAUUU